CCCAGCUUGCUGGGCGGAUUAGUGGCGAACGGGUGAGUAAUACGUGAGUAACCUGCCCUUGACUCUGGGAUAAGCCUGGGAAACUGGGUCUAAUACUGGAUACUACCUCUUACCGCAUGGUGGGUGGUGGAAAGGGUUUUACUGGUUUUGGAUGGGCUCACGGCCUAUCAGCUUGUUGGUGGGGUAAUGGCUCACCAAGGCGACGACGGGUAGCCGGCCUGAGAGGGUGACCGGCCACACUGGGACUGAGACACGGCCCAGACUCCUACGGGAGGCAGCAGUGGGGAAUAUUGCACAAUGGGCGGAAGCCUGAUGCAGCGACGCCGCGUGAGGGAUGACGGCCUUCGGGUUGUAAACCUCUUUCAGUAGGGAAGAAGCGAGAGUGACGGUACCUGCAGAAGAAGCGCCGGCUAACUACGUGCCAGCAGCCGCGGUAAUACGUAGGGCGCAAGCGUUGUCCGGAAUUAUUGGGCGUAAAGAGCUCGUAGGCGGUUUGUCGCGUCUGCUGUGAAAGCCCGGGGCUCAACCCCGGGUCUGCAGUGGGUACGGGCAGACUAGAGUGCAGUAGGGGAGACUGGAAUUCCUGGUGUAGCGGUGAAAUGCGCAGAUAUCAGGAGGAACACCGAUGGCGAAGGCAGGUCUCUGGGCUGUUACUGACGCUGAGGAGCGAAAGCAUGGGGAGCGAACAGGAUUAGAUACCCUGGUAGUCCAUGCCGUAAACGUUGGGCACUAGGUGUGGGGGACAUUCCACGUUUUCCGCGCCGUAGCUAACGCAUUAAGUGCCCCGCCUGGGGAGUACGGCCGCAAGGCUA
rnacentral:rRNA from 1 species